rnacentral:lncRNA from 1 species
GGAAACACAAAAAUUAUAUAUAUAUAUACAUUCUAUAGAAUGAAAUAAAGAAUGUAAAACAAACGAAAAUAUGAGGACAUGGAGUUCAGACUUUAUGUAAGUUAACACCAAAUUGUUGCAAUUUGACAAGUGACAUCUAUGAUCAAAAAACAAUCAUUUGUUUGCCAUUCUCACGGGUCUGAGGUUCUCUGUCCUCCAUAAUUUAACAUCUAUAAGUUACGACAGGAGAAGAAUCCGAUAACAUGCAAGUAGCAUGGAAACAGAAGGAGUAAGGAAUACGACUGGGGAAAGAACAGGGAAAAAUGUCUUUUCUCCAGAGAAUCACUCCUAAGUCACCAGGUGGGCCAGAUGUGUCCGAGCAUCAUUCGAAAGUCACUGAAUGGACAGAAUGUGUCCAAGAACCACUCUACAUGAUUGCUCAUCGGCGAAAUAGUCAGUCGUCUCCCAAUGAAGUCACCCACCUCAAUCAAGAAGAAAGUCAGUCACGAAGAUUCCAAAUCAGUUGCCAGAAACAAAAACCCCAAGGGCCAAAUAAAAGAUUCACCAAGAGUUGAUAACAAGAAAAACUUUUAAAGGUGUCAGCAAAGGAAGAGCUGUCUGAAGAAAGUGAUUAUCAUAGUUUUCACUGCCUUGUAUGUGCUUGUAAUCUAUUUCACUUGUUGACUCUUCUACAAAUUGAACUAGAGACUAGCAAUUUGGACUAAAGACUAUUUAGAAGAAAACUUCAUCAGUCUCCACUGUUGCCAACCAUUUGUUAUCGUUUUUUGUAAAGGUAUUUAUCCUCCAUGAUAAUUUUGCAAACUAUAUCAUCUUACUCUCUCUCAACAAAGGUCCCAGGUUUUCAACAAAUCGUAGUUGUCUGUAUCAGAACAACUCUCAUUUUGCCAUUCUUACCUGCGCAUACUGACCACACGACAGUGGUAGGCUAAUGACUGUUCUCGUCGUCUGCCAGAUCCACAGCACUGUCAAGGAAGGAGUGAAAGCAAUUUGGACCUUCAACUCAAAAUGCAUUUGCUCAUUGGAAAGUAAAAAGAUUUUAAGCUUUGAAAAACAAAGUUGAUCAAGAAAAAGAUCAGACAAAAAUUAAACAAAACAGGCCACAGAUAAAAAUUGCAGACUAUUAUUUAUUUAAAUUCUAGUUUGUAUUUCUUUGUAAAAAUUAAAUCAGUUAAUUUGUAUUACUGUUUAGUACAAACCAUUUUGCUUAUGUUCAGAAUUGCAAACAUUACUUUUUCGUGUUCAAUUCUCAAAGUAGAAAUCAAGCUGGCAUUUAAUAAAUC